AGCGAACGCUGGCGGCAGGCUUAACACAUGCAAGUCGAGCGGGCGUAGCAAUACGUCAGCGGCAGACGGGUGAGUAACGCGUGGGAACAUACCUUUUGGUUCGGAACAACACAGGGAAACUUGUGCUAAUACCGGAUAAGCCCUUACGGGGAAAGAUUUAUCGCCGAAAGAUUGGCCCGCGUCUGAUUAGCUAGUUGGUGAGGUAAUGGCUCACCAAGGCGACGAUCAGUAGCUGGUCUGAGAGGAUGAUCAGCCACAUUGGGACUGAGACACGGCCCAAACUCCUACGGGAGGCAGCAGUGGGGAAUAUUGGACAAUGGGCGCAAGCCUGAUCCAGCCAUGCCGCGUGAGUGAUGAAGGCCCUAGGGUUGUAAGCUCUUUUGUGCGGGAAGAUAAUGACGGUACCGCAAGAAUAAGCCCCGGCUAACUUCGUGCCAGCCGCCGCCGUAAU
rnacentral:rRNA from 1 species